ensembl:lncRNA
GUCUGUUUCAGGAUGAUAUAACGUCAUUGGAUGCUGGGCAGACGCUCUAUCUACAAAUCUACAGACCUGUGUACUUCCAGCUGGUGGAUGUUCUGCUGCAGAAGGCCAGUUUCCCCAGAGGUGAGGACUAUGCCACGUGGUCCGCAGAUGACCAAGAGCAGUUCAGGACCUACAGGGUUGACAUCUCGGAUACUCUGAUGUAUGUGUAUGAGCCCAGAGGUCCUCAGAAACCUGUAUGAUAAACAAGGCACACUGCUGAUGGACACAACACACCUCUCCUCAUGGCAAGUCAGUCCUAAUGUUGCAGUGUCUUAUAAAUGCCUAUUAUAUUGAACAAUAUCUCCCGUGGAGCAUGUAGAGGCUCUGCUGUUUGGGUUUCAGUCCAUUGCUGAGACAGUAGAUGUCAGUUACUCAGACGUCAUUCCAGGACUGAUGGGUCUGAUUCCUUUCAUCACAGCAAACAAUGUUCAGCUGGCUGAGACCAUCAUGUUCACCAUAGGUACACUUAUUCAUUUGUAAGCAUAACUUGCAAGUGUAUUCUACACAUCAGGGUUUCUGUGGGUCUUAAAAAGUCUUUAAUGGUGAAGUUUAAUUCUUAGGGUUGGAAGUCACUGACUGCUGUCAUGAUUUCUUGUAGGCUCUUUGGCCGAGUGGUUGGCUGAUCAUUCACUCUUGUUGGUGAGUGUCCUGCCUGUGGUCUUGCAUGGCCUUUCAAACCCGGAACUGUCCAUGGAAUCUGCCGAGAAUGUCGACAUGACCUCUACCUUCACGCCAGUGACAUCAUGUCUGUCUCACAGGUUUAAAAAAACAUUUUGUCUAGAAGUGCCACUACAGUUGUGCCAAAUAAUGUCAGGGAGUAAUGUACAAAGCUCACUGUAGUCUUUUUUGGUCUCAGGCAGUGCUUGUCAAAGACAUCCAUAAAGUAAGUCCAAUUGUGUUUGAUUAGUGUUGGUAACACUGUAACUGUAACUUUUACUCAGCAUUUUUUCUCUCUUUUACCCUUUGAUGCAGCCCAGCUCUGGUAAUAAGCUUCCUAUUGUCCACAUCCUCGGCCUGCUGGCCAGUCUCUUCUCCACAUUUGACCUAAACAAGCAAAGCGAAAGAUUGGAGGUCAUGAGGCCUGUCCAAACACAGCCACACAACAACAACCCGGUAUGACAGCCCAUCAAGACUCAAACUCCAGUCAGCUAUUGUUCAU